GAUGAACGCUGGCGGCGUGCCUAAUACAUGCAAGUCGAGCGAACGGACGAGAAGCUUGCUUCUCUGAUGUUAGCGGCGGACGGGUGAGUAACACGUGUAUAACCUACCUAUAAGACUGGGAUAACUUCGGGAAACCGGAGCUAAUACCGUAUAAUAUUUUGAACCGCAUGGUUCAAAAGUGAAAGGCGGUCUUGCUGUCACUUAUAGAUGGAUCCGCGCUUCAUUAGCUAGUUGGUAAGGUAACGGCUUACCAAGGCAACGAUGCAUAGCCGACCUAAGAGGGGGAUCGGCCACACUGGAACUGAGACACGGUCCAGACUCCUACGGGAGGCAGCAGUAGGGAAUCUUCCGCAAUGGGCGAAAGCCUGACGGAGCAACGCCGAGCGAGUGAUGAAGGUCUUCGGAUCGUAAAAAUCGGUUAUUAGGGAAGAACAUAUGUGUAAGUAACUGUGCACAUCUUGACGGUAACUAAUCAGAAAGCCACGGCUAACUACGUG
rnacentral:rRNA from 1 species